rnacentral:lncRNA from 1 species
GGGCUUCGGCGCCGGCCAUUCCGCCGCCGGCAAGGUUGAGGCCCCAGGCGACCCAGCCGGAGGGGGAGGGAGGAGAGGCGGAGAAGGCGACGGAGAGGGUGCGGUUGGUGGCGUUGAAGGUGAAGUGGAGGGUGGCGCCGAGGGUGGGGAGGUUGGUGCAGUUGGCGUAGGUGCGGUUGAGCUUCUGGGAAGCACAAGUGAGGGCAGAAUGGGAAGGGGUGGAAAAUAGAGAAAAUAGAAUGAUGAAGAGGGAAAUGGUGGUCAUGGGUGUGAAGGGUAGAUCAUGGAGUGCCAUUGGUGGUGGGACUGAAAAAGUAGAACAAUGGAAAGAGAAAGAGGAAAUGGAAUGAAGAAGUCACUAGUAGUAAUGGAUUUGGGAGUUGAAGAGUAGAUAUAUAUAUAAUGGAAGUGGGAGCGUGUGGAGAGCAGAAAGCUGGAUUUGAAAACCUGUGCAAAGGUUAAACUUGUUAAUGACUCCUUUUUAAUCAAUUUAAUUAAUUAAUUAAUUGUAUAGUUUUUUGUAUAAAAAAAUUAUCUCGCUUUGCAUUAAAGUUUGUCAAAAGUGGACCGUUAAUGAAGAUUAUUAACCUGGGCAAGGUUACAUAGAUUAGAAAAAUUGUAUAAUUAAUUAGUUAAUUAAGGUUUGGUUUGGUUAGAAAAAAGUUGGAAAAAAAUCAAAAAGAGGAAAUUUUUCCCUCUCUUGUCUAUUAUCUUGAUUAUAAGCAGAAAAAUACAUAUUUGAAAAAAUUAGUUAACUUCUUUAAAUUAUUUUAUUUUUAAUUAAAAAUAUAUAUUUUCAUAAAUUGUAUAUCAUUCGUUGGAAUUUUACAUAAGUAUAAAAAUAAAUUUUUGGUCUUAAUAAAGCAUCAUUUGCAUCAUUAAUAUAAGCAAAAAUAAUUAAUUUUACAUUAUUAAAAAGUUAAUUAAUACCAUUUAAUUCUAUUAACCACAUCUAAGAAAUAAUUUUUUUCGUUGAAAUUAUAAUCACAAUUAAUUGAGUUUUUUUAAAAUGAUAUAAUUUAAAAGUAGUUAAAAUUUAUUUAUAUUUAAGUAAAAAUAUUAAUUUUUGUUGUUUAUAAUUAGGUACAAAAAUAGUAUAAAAUAUGCUUUUGGUAUACUAUUAUUUUGUUUUGUUUUGUUUUAUUUCUUUCUUUCUUUUUAAUAUAGUACAAAAUAAGAAUUUAAUUCAUUGGGUAAAAGUUUUUACAAUUUCAACAACUAAAAAAAAAUAAUAUAUGUAACUUUUAUGUAUGAAAGUCAAUAGUUUUAUUAUAUAGUUUAUAAUUACAUAACAUUAUAAAAAAUUUAUAUCAUCAAUUUAUAUAUUAAUGUUUCUCAAAAUAAAAUUAUUUAAUAGAUAUAUAACAUUGGUAUAAAAGAGUUUUUAUAUUAUUAUUUAGCUGGCUUUUAAGAUAUUUAUUACAAAGAUUUUGACAGAUUCAUCGCACAUAAUGAUAGACAUAGUGCUUUUUCUUCUUCUUUUUACAUUAUAGAAUGAUAUUUCAUCUAUUCAAAUAAAACAUUCAUAUUAAGUCAGGUUUUAUAAGUUUUUUUUAUAAAUAUUAAAUUUUAUAUUCUAACUUUGUUCUCAUAUAAAUAAUUAAACGAUGAUUUUAAGGUAUUUUGUGCAUUACUUUUUUUAACAAUUAAUAAAGACAUUUAACAAAAUUGUUUUGCUAAUUGUGUUAUUUUUUAAUUUUUAUAAAAAAUAUUGAAAGUCAUUUGUAUUAACAUGGAAGAAAAAUUUAUAUACUUUUUGGUCAUGUAAAUAAAAAGUAUUAAAUCAUGCUGAAAUGGUAUUGAAUAGUUAAUAAUUUAAUGGGGCUCUGACAAAAAAUUAAUUUUAUAGGGAAUAAUUAAAUUGUUUCUUAUUUCCCAAAACAAAUUAAAUUAUUUCUAUGAAAGAAUAGCGUGUCAGUCUUAUCAAUUUUAAAUAUGGAAAUUAUGACCGUGGCUUUGAUUUUAGAAAUAUAGUAUAUGCAUUUAAUUGUCAAAUUAAUUCAUUAAUGCGUAUUCCAUGUGACUGUCAGUCCAACUAGUCUUUUAAGGGUACAACAAAAAAAAUACUAAAAAGAAAAACUAGCCUUAAGGAUUCGUGAUGUGAAAACUAAUAUAGUUAAGCAAAUGCACGUUCAAGAAUCUUAAAAAUCUAUCUUAUCAAGUUUGAUUAAUUCUAUAUUUUCCAUAGACUAAUUUAAUAAGUCAUACAAAUUCAUCGCAUCUUUUGUGUUUUCUAUUUUUCAAAUACACAUGCAUUUAUUAGGUUUUAAUCUGAAAAUUGUGAUUCUGACUUGUCUUAUUUUUUUUUAAUGUGAUUUUGACUUAUCUAUUUUGCAUAAUAUGAAAUAAAUCAUAUGUCUUUAAUAGGUUUUAAUCUGAAAUUUGUGAUUCUGACCUGUCUUAUUUUUUUAAUGUGAUUUUGACUUGUCUAUUUUGCAUAAUAGGAAAUAAAUCAUAUGUUUUUAAUGAAUCCCUUAAAUUAUUUUUACUCUGUGUUUUGUGAAAUCAUUUAGUUGUCGUGUUCUCAAAAGUAAUAAGUUAUUUUUGUGUUAUGUCUAAGAAUGUUUGUUUUCUUCGUUGAAUCAACGGGUAUCUAAACAUCCACUAAAUAAAAAAUAAAGGUAUAUAGUCAAAUUUAUUUCUUAAGUGUGAUGCACAAACAAAUUCGGUCUUGAAAAAUAAAAAUUUUGAAUUAGUAUCUAAAUAUGCAAAAGAGGCAAUAAAUUAAUUCCGUAGAUAAUUUAAUAAAAAUUUUGUUUCAAAAUUUUAUAACUUAAUGUUAAAGUGACCUAAAAAAAUAUAACUUAUUGUUAAAUUGGUUUUUGAUUAUUACAACUUAAUGAUAAAAUAGUUUCAAUAAUUUAAUGGCAAGAUUAAUUUGUUGCAUUUCUUGCACAUUCAAGAACUAAAUUUAUAUAUAUUUUUUUUAUCUUUUAAGGAUCAAUUUGUCGCUAUGUCACACUUUUUCGGGUAGGGGUGUUCACGGGCCGCUUAAGACUAUUUUUGAUCAAAUUCAAAACUCAACCUAAUCAAAUUUGAUUAGUUUGGUUCGGUUUCAUUUUUACAAUUUUUUUUAAACCCAGUUCAUUUGGUUCUAUUCGGGUCAAUGAGUUAACUAUUUAAAUUUGAUCUUUUUUUUCUUAGAACUAUUAUUUUAUAUCAUGAUUCAUCCAAAUAUUCAAUACAAUUAAUAUAAUAUUAUCAAAUAAUCUAAAUCACAACUAUUUUCUACAGACUAAUUUCUUGCAAUAAGUUUUACUGGAACUAGAUUUUCUACAAUCAAAUUUGUUGCAGUCAUAUUUGUUCAAAUAAAUGAAUAAAAUAUAAUCCAUUAAUAUUAUAAACAUAGUAAAAAAAAAUAUGAAAAAAUGGUGAAAAACAAAUAACAAUGUAAUUCAAAGUAAUACCUUAAGAAAAUCCAAUACCAGUAGUCUCAACAUUUGUCGUUCCAACACUUAGAGUUCCAAUAUUAACAAUAUUUAAAAUCAAAUCAAACAACUCUAAAAAUUUUAAUCGAAUAUAUAAAUCUAAAUUUAUGACAAAAUCUGCACAUGAACAAAUUUGAUCAGUUUGGUUUGAUUUUGACCAAAAUAUAUAAAUCACCCAACCCAAAUUGUUCAGAUUAGUUUGGAUCAAUUCGGAUUCACGGGUGACCUGUACCCAUGAAUACCCCUGCUUUCGGAGACAAAUUUAACUAUUUACCCUAAAAAUAAUCUAAUGUGACUAAAACUCGAUUUUGAAAGCCAAAGUCUUUUUUAAUGGUGUAUUUGAUAGAGGUAAACUGAAGUGGAAAGGAAAAGAAAUUUUAAAAAUUAAUGUGAGUCUUACACCUUUAAUUCGCUAUUUUAAUUUAAACAUUUUUCUCAAUUUCAUUUUAUUCCACUUUUCUCUGUUCUAUCAAACACACUUUAACUUUAUGUUUGGAUUGAAGAAAAGAAAAUGGUAAAGGAGAAAAAAAAUUAUAAUUUGAAUUGAUAAAAAAAAUGAGAGGAAAGAAAAUUUUAAAUUUUUGUAUUUGAAAAUCAACAUACCAUAAGAGAAUGCUCCACUUUAUCUCAUUGGAUUUUUCCUUUAGAGUAUGUUUGGAUGGAGAAAUUAAAGUGGGUAAAGUAUUUUAACCGGGACAUUGAAAUGCCUUCUUAUAAAAUAAUCUAUUUGGAUAGGAUAUUUUAGAAGUAAUUAAAAUGUCAUCAUUUUUUUAAAGCAUUUUAAUAGACUAAAUUGGCAGAAUUUAAAAUUCUCACAAAAGAUAGAGGAAUUAAAAUUCCCCGGCCACUCUCACGCACACUUUUUCUCCCUAGCUCUCAGCAACUCUCACGACGCCGCACACACUCUCUCUCUCCCUCUCAUCACACUAGCUCUCUUCGUAGCUCUCUCUCCCUCUCAGCCACUCUCACGCACCACACGUAGCGCUCUCUCACAAGUAAGUUUUUCUUUCAACCAUAUCUAUUCAUCACAAUCUAUGUUUCCUUUUUGAUUUCAUUUUUGUAGCUCGAUUUUGAUUUCAUUUUUGUAGCUACAAGGGUCACUUGAUUUUAUUGAUGUAUGUUUCGUUUUCUAUUUCAUUUAUUUUGUUUCAAUGAUUUUGAUAUGUUGGUGGGAGUGGAAUUGGAUGAGUUUGGAGUUGAGAUAGGUUGUGAGCACCAUAUGUUUGUGAAUAUGCAUAAAAGAGAAAUAGAGAAACAAAUCUGUUUGAAAUAGAGAAACCAAAUACAGUGAUUAACCAGUGUUGGGUCCCAACUCUGCAACAUAUUGCUGGGUUUUUUUUUUUACUAUGAAUGAACACAUAGGAUGUUGUUUAUCAAUGCAGUCUACAAUGGCUAGAUUUGGCCUAUUCCUCUUUUGAGUACUGUUUUUAAUCAACUUUCUUUCUUUCGGAACAUGUACCAACUAUUUUAUCAUUUUGGAUUGUAUGAUAAUUUUGAUUUUGAUAGGAGAUGUGGAUAACUCUAAGUUGAUGUGGCCAUGAACACAUAGGAUGCUGCGUAUCAAUUUUGAUUUUGAUAGGAGAUGUUUAAAGGAUCAAAUAUUUUUUAUGUAUGUUUAAAGGAUUUCAAAUCUCUCUUUGCAAUUGUGGACAUGGUUGGUGUUUUUGUGGGGUUCUGUAAGUUAGUUUGAUAGAGAAUUCUAUAGUUAGUUUGAAAACAGAAUUUCCAGAAUAAUACUAAGUCUAGUAAUGAUAGAGAAAAUAUAUUUACACAAGAAUUUGUUUAAUAUAUAUUUUAGUAGGCAAGAAACAAAUGGAGAUCAUUAAAUUAUGAAGUUCCAAACCAAGGAGCAAAUAAUAAAAACAAGGCAAACCACAUUGUAUUUGGAGAGGGGUUUAGAGUUUAAAGAAGUUUGUGUUGUAUCCAUCGAGUGGGAUAAGGCUCUGCUGUUUAUGUUGUUGACUUGUUGUGUUGUAUCCAUCCAUAUACCCCCGAUAGGUCAUUUUUCGAUGUGUUACCUGUAACAUAUCAACUUUGAUUUUUCUUUCUACAGUAUUGUUAACUAAAUAUUUACAAGCUAAUAUGGUAAUUUUUUAUAUAAAAAUGACUCAUUAUUUUGAGUAACUAAUAGUUAUUUUAUAGAAGGUAACCACUAACCAAUGACAUCUUACUCAUUUUAGAAACUAAAAAAAAAGUUUUAUUAAUGUGGGUAUAAACUAGUUAGGAAAAAAAAUAAGGAAUUGAAGUCUUGAACCAGUUGUGACAUAACAAUCAAAAUGCUUAUGUGACAAGAAAAUAUCAGUGUAGUUGUGAUUAGUUGUGAAAGUCAUUACUCGAACUUCAGGAUUUAUAUAUUAUAAAUGGGUAGAUUGUUUUUGAUAAUCAGUAUAUGCUCAUACAGAGAGAGCAUAGAUGAUUAAUUAAAUGACUUAUAAUAGCAGAGAAAAUACCAUGAAUUACUAUUAUUAUCAUUAUUAUUUUGUCUGUUCUUAGACAAUUUUUACAAAGAAUUGAUCAGUAAAGUAAAGUGUGAUUAUGACACUUGAAUGCAAUCAAUGGCUUUUUCUCAGCAUUCUUGGUGUAUGUUUGAAGCCAUUACUCUAGCCCAAAACUUGAUUUGCACUUUCAUGUCACCUGAAGACUUGUGAGAAGUCCAAUUUGGAAUUCGAGGAGCACAACUUUGUACCAACCAUGCCUCUUAUAAGUAUGGUCUCCUUGCUGCCUUAUCUUCCUAUGUCUUAUCUCUUUUUUUCUCUUGCAAACCAGGUAGUAUGCUAGCUAAACUUGGACUUAAGGUUUCUUUCUCAAAUGAGAACCCCAAAUCCUUGAACCCCUGAACUUCUUCAAAUUCAAGAUCACUUAGGCUUCUUCUCAUUGUUUUCUGAUUCAAGUACCUGUGCCUCAUCUCCAUAAUACCCUCUUUGUCGAAGCUUUCAACCUCAGUCUUUCUGGCUGGUCUACGUCUUGGAAUGCUACAAGACUGUCAUGCAUAGCCAAAAUAACACAAAUGAGAAAAUGUGAGGACUGAGUAGUUAACUUCAAAACAUUCAAAUCAAUCUGAAUUUGAAAGAAUAUAUAUGUCUUAAAACUUUACUUUCUAAAUAGCUAUUGACUUUUCUUAAAAAGUAUCAUUGUAGCAGCAAAAUGAUGCAUGUCCUUUUCUAAUUAUAUGAUUUUGCUUAGCCAAAAACUUUUGGGUUUUUGGCCAUGCUUUAAUUGGUGCUAUUCUGGGCGUUGGCCACAAUAAAAGCAAUCAUAAAAUCUUACUAGGGACAUAAUCUUAUGCAUUUAAAAUAUAAAUGAAACAUGUGUCUAUUACUUAAAUAUCUUACAAAAUCAGAUGAUUGAAGUACCUUAGAGGUUUGCGGGCAAAAUGUCAAUUUGUGUAGGUGUUGAUGGUUGCUUGCGGAAUUUGCCAGGUCUAGUAUCAUUUACUUUGUCACCCCUUCAUGUGUUCUGAAUUUAUAUGGAGGCUUUUGCAUCUAUUUUCAUUGAAUUCUGAUUAUAAAUUAAAUGAAUGUUGUACACACAUAGGCUAAAGAUUUGACUAUUAAAAAACGCUCAAGCUCAGCUUUCUAGAUAAGUCAUGUGAGAUAUGACAGCAUGUUCUUUAAGAUGUCCUUAUAUUAUUGUUUAGCCAUAAUGAGCUUAUUGUUUACUGUACUGUAUUUGUUUAGAAACCUAUACAGGUAUAUUAGACUUUGAUCUCCAUUCAUCAAUCUCUCAUUAGCUUCAUUUUUACUCUCUGUUAUUUUAUUUUAUUUCAUGAUUUAACACGUUAUUUCAGUUAGUUUACAAUAUUUUUUAUCAAUCAGAAAUAAAAGACAAGUCAUUAUGUGAAUCUAAUUGCACUCAUUACAUCAGUUAAUAGGAUAAAGUCUAACUGAGAAGGACGUAACAAAUUACCAUUUGAUAAGUGAAAAGCCGAUUUGGUCACCGGUCACCAAAAUUUCAUUGCAUUACACUAAGAACACAUAGUAGCCCAAACAAAUUACCAUUUGAAAAGUAUAAAAAAAAAGUGAAUAAGCCUUUAUGUAAGUUAUGUAAUUGUGGAGUUAGACGGAAGCAAAUUACAAAGUAUAAAGGAGAAACAAGUUGUUCACGUACACACUAUUCUCUAUUUUCCCUCUUUGUUCCUCAUAAAAAAAUUGAACUUUAUAACACACGUCAACACUCAUCUUUUGUUGUUACACAAUGCUUUUGGCUCCUAUCAAUUUUACUUGAGGAGUUGCAAUUGAUGUCCAUUCCCUUCUUUAUUGAUAAUUUUUUUUAAUUUUUUCUUAUCAAUAUUUUUGCUAUAUUUUCUUUUGUUUUUAGGUUUUUUUUACUGCAUUAUUGAAGCCACUACUUUGUUGUUAGCCUAUCACUUAGAGCCAUCUUAAGAAUUACAUAUUUGAACGGUUGAGAACUUGAGGUGUGUGUGGAAAAUGUUAUCUUUUAUUAGGUUUUUAGACUUCUAUAAUUAGGAAAAAAUAUUUAAUGAAUGUCUUAUGUCUUGUUACAUGCCCGUAGCUUAGGCUUUUCAUAGUCUGGUCCUUGUUGUUUUUUCCUUUAUUUUGCUAAUGUAAUUAAUUAGAUUAUAUAGUAGUUUUUUUUAUUGCAUUGAACUCUUAAUUUUUCUAGUUUUUAGUGGCUUGUUAUAUUAUUUGGAUUUAUAUUCUUAUCAUUUUUUAAUACUUUGAGUUAUAUUAUAUCAUUAGUGUCACAUUAAUUUGGGAGUAAUAUUUUUAAUAGAUAUAACAAUGAAGCAUAAAAGAAUAGAUGCAAUUUUUAAGAGGAUAAAACAAGGAUUCUAAUGAUCCAAUUGUUCAACUAGAGGAAUUUGUGACUAGCUAGGAAUUUGUUACAACAUAGCUUGGUACCCUUUUAUGCUUCAGUCUUUACCCUUUUAUAGCUUGGUACCCUUUUAUGCUUCGCUACUUUUAUUAUAUUACUUUUUUUUUUAGUUAUAUAGUGUGGAUAGUCAAGAAAUGGAAAGUAAUAUAGUUGAUACUUCGGCUGCUUCAAGAAAACGUAGAAGAGAUGAAGAAGAGGAAGAAGAACUUGAACAAGCAUUUUUCAUUAUUGUUAGUGUUGUCACUAUGCUUUUGGAUGCACUGACUUGGUAUCAUGACAUGUACUUUGUUAAGGAACCUGCCCAAAAUUUGGAAUUAGAAAGGCAUAGUUCCCUCAAUCGUUUAUACAGUGGAACAAAAACUGAUUGCAUUGAACAAUUAAGGGUCAGUAAAAAGGCAUUUUUUAAGCUUUGUAGAAUUUUACAAGAGAAAGGGAAAUUGGUAAAAACAAGAAAUGUUCCUAUAGCUGAAGUUGUGGCAAUGUUUUUUCAUAUCCUUGCUCACAACCUAAAGUAUAGAGUUAUGCACUUUAGUUAUUGUAGAUCCAUGGAAAUAAUAAGUAGGCAAUUCAAGAAUGUCCUGCGAGCUAUAAUGAAAAUAAGCAAAGAAUAUUUGAAGUUUCAUGACUAUAAUCUAGAGGGCUCAGUGGAAAACAAAUGGAGAUGGUUUAAGGUAAGUUUGUCAUUUGUUACUAAUUAUAAGGUACUUUAAGUGAUCAUAACUUAUUUUUUUUUAUUUUGAAAUGUUUUUAGAAUUCGAUUGGGGCACUUGAUGGGAUACAUAUUCUAGUAACAGUUGCUACAGAAGAUAGACCUAGAUAUCGUAAUAAAAAAUGUGAUAUCUCUACAAAUGUUUUAGGAGUUUGCGGUCCAGAUUUAAGGUUUAUAUAUGUGUUGCCUGGGUGGCAAGGGUCAACAGGAGAUUCUCGAGUAUUGCGAGAUGCUUUGCGUCGUCAAAGUUGUCUCCAUAUUCCAAAUGGUAAUAUCAUGAAAUGAUGAAACUUUAUUUAAAAUAUAAAAGAAAUAUGCAUAUUUUUUAUAUAUAAUAUUUUUUAAAGCCAUUGUAGGUAAAUAUUUUCUUGUGGAUGCAGGGUAUACAAAUGGCCUUGGAUUUUUAGCACCUUAUCGAGGGACUAGAUAUCAUCUUAAUGAGUGGAUCGGAAACACCCCUCAAAAUUACAAGGAAUUAUUUAAUCUUCGUCAUGCAAGUGCAAGGAAUGUUAUUGAAAGGUCAUUUGGGGUAUUGAAGAAAAGAUGAAGUAUAUUAAGAACUCAUUCUUUUUUGAUAUAAAAACACAAAUAAGAAUUAUUAAUGCUUGUUUCAUGCUACAUAAUUUCAUAAGAGAUGGACAACAAAGUGACCCAAUUUUGGAAGCCCAAGACUAGGAACUUUUAUCUGUUGUUGACAAUGAGUUAAUUAAUCAACAAAUGGAAAGAGUCACAAAUAAUAUUGGAGAUGAAGUCACAACUAUUCAAGCAACUGAGGAAUGGACAAGAUUCUAUGAUAGUUUAGCAAUGAAUAUGUUUGCCACCUAUCAGAUAAGAAGAAACUUUGAUUAGGGAGAUGUUUUUAGUGGAUUUGGAUUUUGUUUCUUAUGUGUAAUUGACUCUAUACUCAUGUAUGUGUGAUACUUUGGAUUUUUGUAUUUCAUAAUACUUUGGAUUUUGUUUUCUUUUUAUGUGUAAUUAAUUUUAUACUUUCGUAGAAUGCUAAUUUGACAUGUCUCCCCUUUAUAUUUAUGUAAUUAUAUGUGAGAUUUUUUUUUUGUCUAGAGAAAUGGAAUCAAGCAAUGUGAAGAACAAGUCAAGUGGAAAAAGAAAGAUGUCUAGUGAGGACACAAGAAGUUACUUCACAUGGAACUUGGAAAUGGAUCGUGUGCUAGCUGAUGUGCUUUGAGAUCAAAGAAAUUUGGGCAAUAAAGAUGAUGGAAAUUGGAAAGCAGUAGCAUAUAGUACUGCAACUCAAAUUUUGUCCAAGCGUUUUGGAGUUCACCUCAUGGCAGAUAAUGUUAAGAACCGUUUUAAGCUUUGGAGAACAUGGUAUGGAAUUGUGAGUGACAUUCUUAGUCAAAGUGGAUUUGAUUGGGAUAGCACAAAGUACAUGAUUAUCGUUGAAAAUGAAAUUGCAUGAAAUGAAUAUGUAAAGGUAGUCAAUCAUCUUUUAAUUUUAUUCAAUUGUAGUUAUUAUUUAUGUUGUUAUUAACGUGUUUCUAUUUUUUUUUCUAGUCACAUGAAAAGGCCAAACGAUUUCGAUUCAAAGUCAUUCCUAAUUGGGAUGAUAUUGUUGACCUAUGUGCAAAGGAUAGAGCUAUUGGACUCGGAGCAGAAAAUGCAUUAGAUGCAGAUGAUAUCAUGAGCAAAGAAACAAAUGAAGAGGAAACAAUUAAUAGUGUGAGUUUUGACUUAGAGGGAUCAAGUUCUGCCACAAGAAAAAACAUUCGCCCAAGUAAGAGUGGAGAGAAAGAAGGGAUGAUUUCCUCAAUGAAAGAAGUAGCCAAGUCAUUGAAAGAAUUUGUUGAAGUGACUAAGAAGAAGAUGGAGAACAAAAAAAAAAGAUGGAGAUAAAAGAAGCUCAAGAAAUGAUACAUGAAGUGGUGAGUGAGCUAGAUAAUAUACCUAAUUUUAAUGGUGCACUUCGACAUAGAGCAAUCGAUUGGUUGACAGAAAAUCCCAUUAAGUUUGUGAUUAUAAAAGCUCUUCCAUUGGAUGAGAAAGAUGAUUCCAUCUCGUCUUUUAUGCCUUAAUGCCAAAUUACAGGUACAUUUGAUAUCAUGACAAGUAUGUUGAUGUUAUAUAAUUAUGUUUUACAUUUAUAUCUCUCAUUUUAUAUAGCAAAUUAUGUUUUAACAAAUAUGAUUUGUUUAGUAACACUUAACAUUAUGUUUUCUUCUGCAGAAAAGAUGUGAAUGAAUUUGUGUGCUAAAGCAAAUGCAAUUAAAAAAUUUGAAAUUAUUUUGGAAGUUGGACUUAUUUUGUGACUAGAUUUUGCUUCAGUCCAAGUUUUUUUUUUGGUGUAAUUGCAUUACUGGCCAAUAACUUCUACAAAAAAACAAGUUUUAUCUAUAGACUUCUAAAUAACAUUCUAAGGUGAAAUGGUACUAAAUAUUUUUUAUGUUGUGAGUUUUGUAGUGGGUCGUAAAUGGAAUAAUGAUUUAAAUAGUUAAAUUAAUAUAUUUUUAAUUGAAAUAGAUUAAAAUAGUACAUAUUUAUUGGAAUACCACACUCGACAAAUAGUACAUAGAAUUUAUUAAUGAAAAAAAUAAUUCUUUUGUUAAAAACUUUUUUUAUUCAAAUAUAAAAUUUUAAAAAAGAAUGCAUUUGAUUAUUUUAUCAAAAUAAGAAAUUUUAAAAAUGAAGAAAUUUAAUUUCUUUAUCCAAACAUAAAAUUUUGAAAAUGAAGAAAUUCAAUUUCUUUAUCCAAACACAGAAUUUUGAAAAUGAAGAAAUUUAAAUUAAAGUAUUUGAAAUUCUCAGAAUUUAAAAUUCUUUAGGGGCUGUUUGGUUUGAUUGUUUUUUGUGUUUUCAUUUUAAUUGGAAAUAAAAAAUGGUGAUGAAAAUGUGUUUGAUUGAAUUUUUGAAAACAUUUUCAGUGAAAAUAUUUUCUCAAACAAACCGAAAACGGGAAAUAAUAAAAUCUCGUUUUUAGUUGAAAUCAAAAACCUCAUUUUGGAUAAAAAUGAAAACGUGGUGGCAUGAAAUGUAAUUUUAAGCAAAUGUAAAAAUACAUUUCCUUUCGAAAAUGCAUUUUCAAUAUUUUUAUUUUUAUGUUUUAAAAGCAGAAAAUAAGAAGUCUAAUAAACAUGUUUUCAAACUUCUAAUCUUUUAAAAAUAAAAAUAGUUUUCAAAAAAUAAAAACAGAAAAUAAAACAAAAAACAAAAAUGCAAAUCAAACAUACCGUACAAAAAUAGUUGCUAAUACUUCUAAACGUGUAUACGAGGCGGCUGGUAAGUGUGCAGCAGUGUGAAAGUAGAAUUUGUUGGGUACACGUGUUCUUGAAUGAUUGGUUGAAGCAAAGUAAACUUUCCUUUCAAACCAUGAAGCAAGUGGUCGACCGAGGAAGUUGAUAAGCAGGUUUAUUGGGGAAGUUCACAAGCACGAUAAAUUUGGAAGAGAUUUUUUCGUAUUAUUUUAAAAUAAAAUUGGUGAAUAAGCACGUGUUGCUGAGUAAAAUGCGUAGGACCAUGUUGAUGCGGGUAUUUAAACGACUUUGACUGACACUGCUAAAAGUGUUUUUUUUUGUUUUUUGCAACGCUUUUUAAGUAUUGAACCUUUUUUUGCAACGACUCUAUGUGGGUAAGCCACAACCCGUGCGAAUUUUCCUAGCCUUUUCGAAAUCUCGCCGACACAUACGCGUAUCUUUAUUUAUUCUUUUUCUAUUGUACCUUUUUUUUGGAAGACUUUUAUAAAAUUGAAAUACGGAAUAAAUGCGAUAAAAAAGAGUUUACUUUUUUAGUAUAAUAGUGCUUCAUCAAUUCGAAAUUUUAAUAAAUAUAAUUUUUAAGUAUUAGUUAUAAAAAUUAAUAAAUUUAUUAUAUAAUAAUUUUGAUUAAACCGCAAUAUAAAUUUCAUUAUAUUGUUAUUGGAUAUAUUAUUUACUCAAUUCUUUGUAUGAAUUAAUUAUUCUAUAAGCAUUUAAAUUCCUACGGAUGUGAGGAAUAAGUAUUUUUAUAUUCAUAUUUUUAAUUAUAUAUUAAAAUGGUUUUAUUAAUGAAUCAAACUAAUAUAAAAUAACAGGUAAUUGAAUUUAAGUUAAUAAAAUAAAUAGUAAAUUAUAAGCAUAAUUCUUUUAAUUGAAGUCUACAAGGUUUGACCUGACUAAGCUUUGAUAAAAUAUUGACUAAAAUGUGUCUUUAGUUUAUUAAAAUAUAAUGUUUAUGGUUGGUGGUUCUCCAGUUCUAUGCCGUUGAGAUGUUGUGAAUAAGGAUGAAAUACUUAUGAAAAAUAUACUAUAAUACUAGUUAGUGGUGAGUUUAUCAUGGUACAGUUGUGUAAUAUAUUUGUAUCUAACAUUUGUGAAAUUAGUUGUAUUUGAAUUUUUUUUUUUGGAAAAAAUGUAAAUUAUAUUAAACCCAAAAUGAUACAAUAAUAAACGGGGCAUACGCCGCAGUUAAAGAAAAUCAAAAGUCUUCUUAAUACAAGAAGACCUAUAUCAAGAUGCUAAAACAAAUGCAACAGGUGCGCUUGUCUAUACAUAAGAAACUUAAUUUUGCUAAUAACCUUUAUGACAGAAAAUUGAUAAUCUUCAAAAAUCAGCUUGUUCCUAGACAGCCAAAUGCAGUAGACUGUAAUUGCUAUAGCCAGACAACGUAAUUUUUCUUGAACACCUGAUGUGGAUCUGCCCCUAAUUAAAGAGUCAGUAAUGCACUGUAAAGAAGUGAAACGCUUGCGGAAAGGAGCCAAAUCACGAAUGUGAGCUCAAACUUGGAGAGAUUUUCUGAAAGAAAAGAACAAAUGAGCAUUUGACUCAGGCUCAUUUGAACAUAAAGGGCAGAGGGAACCCUUGUUCAAAAAAGCAACUUUGUCAAGAGUAAGCAGCCGAUUCCUUUUAGCAAGCCACAAAAUGAAAGACAUCUUAGGGGGGAUUGCUGGGUUCCAUAUAACAGAACACCAACUAACAGUAGGCUUGACACCUCUAAUGUAUUCAUAGACUUUGUCAACAAGCAAUUGUUCAUUGGUGCUCCAAGAUUGAAUCCUCUUUUUGGCCUCUUCCGUACUUAGCUCUUUAGAGAUAAUAAAGUCCUUUAUUUGAAUGAUUUUCUUUAUCAAAACUGAAUCUGAUGAAGAAGUAUUGUAAUUCCACACAUCGCUCCCUCUGAAAUAGUAAUGGUGAACCCACCGAACCCAUAGAGAAUCCUUCUUACAAUGAAAGUCCCACAGGAUACGGGAAAGAAGCAUAAGGUUCCAGUCCUUGAGAUUAAAAAGGCCUAAACCCCUUUCUUUUUUCGGAGAACAAACUACUGACCAAGCAACCAAGGGCUUGUUUUUGCCAAUAUCCGCUUUGCCCCACAGAAAAUUACGGCACGAAGCGUAGAUCCGGUCCAAAACAGAUUGCGGCAAAGGAAAAAUCCCCAUCCAGAAAUUCACAAUUCCUUGAAUAACCGCUCUGAUCAACUCUAACUUACCUGCAUAAGAUAAAGACUUUUUGCUCCAUCCCUGAAUCAGGCCAGUAAUCUUGGAAAGCAAGGGAGCAUAAUGACAUACAUUUAAUCUAGAUGAUAAAAGGGGAACACCCAAGUAUCUGAAAGGGAAGUCACCCAAGCUAAAUCCAGUAAGCUGCUGAAUAUGAGAAAGCUCAUGAGGCCUAAUACCGGCUGAGUAUAUGGCAGAUUUAUCAGAGCUGAUGGAAAGCCCCGAAACCCUACAGAAGUGCUGAAGCUUGGCAAACAUAGUUGACAUGGAAGGGAUAUCUCCUCUAGAUAGAAGCAUAAUAUCAUCUGCAAAAGCCAAAUGAGAUAGCUGAAUACUUGCAUAGUUGAGAUGAAAUUUAAAAUUGGCAUCUUCCUUGAGGCUGCUCAUAUCUCUAGAAAAGUACUCCAAACAGAGCACAAACAGAUAAGGGGAGAGAGGAUCCCCUUGUCUAAGACCCCGCUGCCCUUUGAAGUGACCAUAAAUGGAUCCAUUGACUGCCACACUAAAGGAAGUGGAAGAAACACAUUCCAUGAUCCAAGUACAGAACUGGGCUGGGAAGCCAAUGGACUUAAGCAUCCAAUCCAAGAAUUCCCAGGAAAUGGAAUCAUAAGCUUUAUGCAAGUCAAUUUUCAGGAGACAUCUCGGAGAGGAUCUUUUCCGGGCAUAUUUGCGCAAAAUCUCUUGAACUAGGAAGAUGUUGUCCAUCAUCUUUCUGUUCUUAAUGAAAGCAGUUUGAGUUUCCCCAAUAAUAGUCUCAAGCACUGGGGCUAUGCGGUUAGCCAUAAUUUUAGAUACAAUCUUGUAUAACAAAUUACAGCAAGAUAUGGGUCUAAAAUGGUUAACCUGGGAGGCCUGAUCAUGCUUAGGAAUAAGCGCAAUAAUAGCAUGGUUGAGCUGCUUUAGAAUUUUUCCAGUUGUAAAGAAUUCAUUAACCGCUGCAAAGAUAUCAUCACCAAUGAUAUUCCAAGCCUUCUUGAAGAAUAAAACAUUGAAACCAUCUGGCCCAGGAGCUUUAUUAUUAUCCAUCACAAAAAUAACGUUCCAAACCUCUUGCUUAGAAGUAGGACAAAGUAAGGCUGCAAAGCAAUCGGUGGGAACCUUAGGACCCCUGUUGCAUAUCGAAAUGGAAGGAGUUUGGGUUAGCUCAUGAGCACUAAACAAAUUCCUAAAGUGAUUCACAAAAGCAAGGGCAAUUUCAUCUUGGGAGGAAGUGUUAUGCCCAUCCUCUAGCCUUAUGGCAGCAAUAAACCGACUGUGUCUGUUGCGCUUGAUUAAAGCAUGAAAGAAUUUGGAGCAUUUAUCAGCCUGCAGGAGAUAUUUGUUUUUGAUGAGCUGAGCAAAUUUCAUAGACUCCGCUUUUCUAAGCAUAAUGGUUUGCCCUCUAGUGCGGUUUGCCAGAGCAAGAAGGGAAGGAUCCUGAGGAUUUUGCUUUAGAGAAUUAAGCACACUGUUAUAUUCAGCCUUAGCUAGCUCUACUCGGUUGGAGAUGUUGCUGAACUCCUGCUUAAAAAGAUUCUUCAAGGGAGCUUUAAGAGCUUUCAAUUUCUUACAGACCUUGAACAUGCUACAGCCAUGAAUAUUUUGCUUCCAUCCAUCUGCAACAAUUCUUAAGAAAUUUGGAUGAUCCACAAUAGCAUUGUUGAAUUUAAAUGGAGAAUUACCUCUAGGAACUACCAACUCAGUGGUGACAACUAAAAGAGUAUGGUCUGAGAUAGAAAUAAACUCCAUAACUUCACAAGCAGAAUUUCCAAAGGAAUUGAACCAGGCCUGGUUACAUAAAGCUCUGUCCAGUUUGCUCCACACCCUGCUAUUAGUCCAUGUGUACAAGGGGCCAUGAGUGUUGAUGCUCCCCAACCCUAGGUCAGAAUAGCAAUCAACAAAAUCUUGCAACUCAUAAGCAUUGGGCUCAGCUCCAUUGAAACGGUCGGUGGGAGACAGAAUGGAGUUGAAGUCACCAAUGAGGAGCCAGGGGCAAUUCAUAUUAGCAUUGAUACUAUUCAGAUUUAUCCAAAGAGAUCUUCUUGCCAUAAUGGAGUGAAGACCAUAGAUGAAUGAAACCUGAAGGCGUUUGGCAGUGGUUUUACAAUCAAUAGCACAAUGAAUCAAUUGGGCAUUUGACUCCAAAACAGAAAGAUGAAUCUUGUCCUGCUUCCAGAGGAUAAGAAUUCUGCCAGCAUUAUGAGAAGCAAAGUUAUGGGUGAAGUGCCAGUCACUAAACUUUCUUCUCAUGAUUUCCUUAACUGAAGUCUUAUUCAACUUUGUUUCCAACAUAGCCAUGACGUUAAUUUCCUUACAACGAAGGAAGUUCUGCAUCGCAUGAUGCUUCAGAGGCAAAUUAAAGCCUCUGAUGUUCCAAGAGGCAAUGAUCAUGGAUUCGGACGGGAGGAAGCCUCCUCGACCCUAGUUACAGCUUUAUGAUUUCGUCCUCUUUGGACAUCAGCUUGCAUAUCCUCAAUACGAGUUAUAUUCCUUCCAUCCUUGGGUGUUGCCUAGUGGCUUGGCUACCGACGGAGUGGGUUUUUGCUCUCUACAAACGCUGGGGUUCCUUCUUUGAUCCUAGGGAGUUUUAACUGCCUCGGUCUCUAAAGCUUUUCCUUGUGUUUUCCAAUCGCGUGCCCUAUCACUUUUUCUCAUCUUGGGCUAUGAAAUAGUUGCCAGUUUGAACUGUUCUUGAUGGGGGAAGAACAAGGGUCGCCAAUCGCACUCAGCUGCAAAGCAAAUUAUGGUGAAGGGUACUACCUCAGGUUCAGGUAAAUCCCAAACAUCUGCUACUUCUAGUCUGGCUGGUUGCUUGGAUGUUGUCCAAGCAAAUCAGAAUGCUUAUACUGCUUCACAUGAUAAUCUUGUAGGCAAGGUGCUCGUAAAAAAGACAGGGACAAGUUUUGCAAAAACUGAUGAUGUCGCACACCAAGUGUUUGAUAAUUUGUCGCAAUGCAGUGCUGAAUCUGAAUCUUCCCCAGAGGUUUCUUGCACCUUAGGGGACAAUGAUUCAACCACUAAUGAUGAUUCAUCUCACUCCUGUGGCUCUAAGUCAUCACCGCAGUUAGACGACAAUAAGGCUCCCACUCCUUGGGUUAAUCUAUUCAAAGAUAACAGAAGUCCUUCCAAAGGUUUUGGAAUGAAGUUCUCCCCUCCACCCUCUGAUGAUGAAGUGCUGUUGGAAGAAACGAAUUUGCAACCCCUGGAAGAGGCUUGGGGACAUAGCCUUAUUGGCUAUGUGGCUGGUCGAUUCCCAGGAAAGAAAGCUCUGCUGGAUUGUUGCCAAAAAUGGGGAAUCAAGUUUUCAUACUCAGCUCAUGAAAGUGGUUGGCUGGUGUUUAAAUUUGAGUCUGAGGACGAUCUGAACCAAGUCCUCUCUGCAGGCCCUUACUUCAUAUUUCAAAGACCCCUACUGCUAAAGUUUAUACCAGCAUUCUUUGACUUUGGCAAUGAAGAGCUCAGCAAGAUCCCUGUCUGGGUUAAACUCAGAAAUCUACCUCUGGAGCUUUGGAAUCCUCAAGCCUUAGGGAAAAUCCUGUCCAAGAUUGGUUCGCCCAUUCGAUCUGACCAUCUUACUGCUUCUAAGGGGUCUAUUUCUUUUGCUAGAGCUUUAGUUGAGGUUGAUGCUUCUUUGGAGCUCAUCGAUGAAGUGCGAUUUAGACUUCCUACAGGGAAAACUUUUGUGCAAAAGAUUGAGUAUGAAAAUAGACCUUCUUUUUGCACUCACUACAAGAUGAUUGGGCACCGCCUCACUAAUUGUAAAACUUUCACUGCAAAUAAGUCUGUUCUCAUCACAGCCUGCCCCACCUUGGAUCAGCCACAAGUGGGUGAUUCAACAAUGCCCCCACAUACCAAUACAGCAGGCCCCUCUGAUAAUCCAAUGAAUGUCCAGACUAAUCUGUCUGUCCCUCCUCACAGAAAACAUGUCCUGGUUGCAAUUCAUGUUCCUGUCCUUCAGAAUUCUUCUGACCUCAAAGAAACAGGAAACACUGAGUUGGAUGAUCCUAUAGAAGAGGGGUUUGUUCAGGUGAAAACAAAACACCAGAAAAAAGGUAAAAAAGUGUUACUCAUAUUUGAAAUUAGUUGUAUUUAUAGGAGUAUGAGAUAGCAUGGGGUCAAAAGCCCCCAAAGGGUAAUAUUACUCUAUUUGAACAAAAUACCUUACUCGAGUCAAGGCACAUUUUCUUAUACUUAACUAUAUUAUAGAAAUCUUGUUCAUGUUUAUGACAUCAAUUUCGGUAAACAUUUGAUGUAAUGGGGUAGGAAUGACAAUCUGGAGCGGGAUAGGCGGGUUGACCCGUGCCAGUCCACCAUAAAUUCAGCAGGAUGGGGUGGAAACUUCAGCUCACCAGCUCGCUUAGGCCUAUCGGUCCACCUCUAUAUUUUCUUUUAAAAAAGUGAAUAUAUGUACAUAUUAUACUUCAUAUCUCUAUCACUAUUAUAUUUAAUUGUUAAAUGGAUUGUCAACUUAAAAUUAGCAAUUAAUAAUAUUCUAAUUUCUAUGGCAAAAUAACUAAAAUAUUUUGUCAACUAUAUACACCUUAUGUUGUUUUAUAAUAAAUUUUUAAAUUAACAAUGUUUACUUUUUUCUAUGAUAAUAUAGUCAUUCAAUUUACAAACAGGGGAAUCAUAAUUUUUUUUAUUAGGUCCUGCAGUCAUAUAUAGACGUUUUUACUCGUUUAAUAUUGUAAUCAAGUUAUAGAGCACAUUGCUUUUGUACAAUGAACUUGCAUGAGCACUAUAAUAUUAUAUUCAAGUCAUUAUAUUGGUACUAUAUUAAUAUUAAAACUUAUCUACUCUUCAGGUUAAUAUCAAUGUUAAGCUUGAAAUUAUACCUUAUUUGAUAUAUUCACUUUAUUCAUUUAGUCACUUCUUAUUCUUUUUUAAAAUUUGCAUCUUACUACUGCACUUGUCAUCAAGAUAUGUGACCACUUGUUAAAAUAUGCAUUCACUUUUCUUUUCUUUUUAAAUUUAUGGUUUGGAAAUUAAAUUUUUUAAAACGUAAUUUAGUAAUUUGAUAUAAUUUAAAUUUAUUUUAUAAAAUAUGACGGGUUAGCUCGUUGGCCCACCCAUAAAAGGGACAUGCAUAGAUGUUUAGCCCAUUCUACCUAUAGCGAGCUAGCUGAGCCCGACCCAUUUUUGGCAGACUAAAGUUUGAGCAGGCUUAAACAGGGUAGGCUAGCCUACAUUUGAGUGUUGCUAGGUGCACCCAGCAAAGCUUUUAAAUGGCAAAAAUGUCCCUAGCUUCUUUCUUCCUUAAAAAUGUAAUUUUUUUCAAAAAAGUUGUUUACCUCCAUUUUCAGAAACGCUGUGCUUCUCUCGUUUUCUCUUUUUCGUGCGGCAUUGCCUCUGGUUCGUGGGGGUACCAGCGUUGAGCGCAACGGUGAAGGUGAAGGUACCGGCGUCGAGCGUUGCAGUGGUUGGUGGCGGCAAACGAGGUACGCAGAUGGUGGUUUGACUAUCGCGGAUGUAUGGAUGACUUUCGGAUCAAGUUGAUCCGUAAGUCUAUUAUGGAUCAACUUGAUCCGUAAGCUGCUUCAUACUCUUGCGGAUCAAGUUGAUCCGUAAAUGAUUUACGGAUCAACUUGAUCCGGAAGUUUCUUACAGAUCAACUUGAUCCAGAAGGCUGUUACGGAUCAACUUGAUCCGUAUCUGUAUUAUUUUUGGUAUUUGCUGUUUUUGCAUUUAUUUUCCUUUUUUUCUUUUAAAUUACUAAUUUUUUUGUGUGGCCAUUUUUUGUUUGAGUUGGUUAGAUGGACGAAGAUGAGUGGAUGUAUGAAAUAAUGUCUGAAUGAGAGGAUAUGGAUUAUGAAAAUGCAGAAUCAUGUGGUGCGAAUGAACCACAUGUUGAUUGUUCGGAUGCGUUCAAGACUUCUCAGGUUAUAAUGUUAAUGUUUGUCACAGAUUUAAUAAAAUGAAUACUAGUAGAAAACUUAAAUUAUGUGGAUUUUGUAGGUGUUUGAGUGCCGAGAGGAUGUUUUGCGGUGGGCUCGAUCUGUGGCUAAUGAAAACGGAUUUGUGGCGGUGAUUUUAAGGUCAAACACAAACACAAGUAGUAGAGGAAGGACUACGUUUGUGUUAAUUGGCUGUGAAAGGAGUGACGAAUAUAGGUGUAGGAAAAAGGAAUUUAUCAGAAGAGACACUGGGACUAGGAAAUGUGGUUGUCCCUUCAAGUUUCGUUGCAAGCCAGCGGUUGGAGGAGAAGGUUGGAUGGUGAAGUUGAUUUGUGGAGUGCAUAAUCAGGAAUUGGCCAAGUCAUUAGUUGGACAUCCAUAUGCGAGGCGAUUGACUAAAGCUGAAAAAACACUUAUUGCUGAUAUGACGAAGUCCAUGGUGAAGCCAAGAAACAUUCUGCUAACUCUGAAGGAACACAAUGCCAAUAGCCGUACGACCAUUAAACAGAUAUACAAUGCAAGAAGUGCAUUUCGUUCUUCCAUAAGAGGAAGCGAUCUUGAAAUGCAACAUCUGAUGAAGCUUCUUGAACGUGAUCAAUAUAUUCAUUGGCACAGAAUAAAGGAUGAAGACGUGGUUCCUAAUAUCUUUUGGUGUCAUCUUGAUUCAGUGAAGUUAGUCAACGCAUGUAAUUUGGUGUUUUUGAUAGACAACACCUACAAAACAAACCGGUACAGACUCCCAUUGCUCGAUUUUGUUGGGGUGACACUGGCUGGGAUGACAUUCUCUGUCGAUUUUGCAUAUGUGGAGGGUGAACGCGUUAAUAAUUUGGUAUAGGCUUUACAACACUUCUGAGGCCUUUUUUUAAAGCGUGAUGCCCUCCCUGGAGUUAUUGUCACUGAUAGAGACCAAACAUUGAUGAAUGCAGUGAAGGAUGUAUUCCCUGAAUGCACAAAUUUGUUGUGCAGCUUUCACAUAAACAAGAAUGUGAAGGCCAAAUGUAAAUCACUAAUUGCGCAAAAAAAUGCUUGGGAUUAUGUCAUGAAUUGCUGGGGAUCUCUGACUGAUUGUCCUUCAAAACAGGAAUUUGAUGAAUGCCUGAAGAAAUUCGAAAUAGCUUGCACACCUUGGCCAAUGUUUGUUGACUAUGUCAAGGAAACAUGGAUAAUACCACACAAGGAAAAAUUUGUUUCCGCCUGGACUAAUAAGGUAAUGCACUUAGGAAACACAACAACAAAUAGAUAUGAAACUGUUCAACUAUUUCUAUUAACGUUGAAGAAUUUAUGGAAUUGUAUUAUUGUAUAUGUUUAUUUUUAUUUGUGUAUUUGAAAUGUAGGGUUGAAUCUGCUCACUCGUCUUUAAAAAGACUGUUACAAAAUAGCAUUGGAGACUUAUGCAGUGUGUGGGAUGCCAUGAAUAACAUGAUUACGUUGCAGCACACGGAGAUGAAAGCAUCAUUUGAAACAAGUACACAUGUUGUUGGACAUGUGUUCCAAAAAACCUUAUACAAGAGGCUGCUUGGAAUGGUUUCAAGGUAUGCUUUAAAUCAGAUUACUGCUGAAUUAGAGCGUGUUGACUAUGCUGGCAAGAAUCCCUCAAGUUGUGGUUGCGUGGUGAGAACCACGCUCGGUCUUCCUUGUGCUUGUGAGCUAUCCAAAUAUGUUGGUAGUUGCAUCCCACUGGAUUCAAUCCAUAUGUUCUGGAGGAGACUCAGUUUUUUAGACCAAGGGUUAUCUGAGCCCGAGGUGGGCAUCAAGGACGUAAUGGAAACAAUAUCCAAAAAAUUUGAAGAACUUGAUGUUUGUGGCAAGUUUACUCUAAGGACUAAACUUUGGGAAAUUGCAUACCCUGAUCAGAAUUCGAUGUGCCCUCCUCCAGCAAAGGUUAACACAAAGAGGGCACCAAAGAAAACUACGAGCAGGAUCCCAAGGUCAACAAAGCGCGAUCCAUCUUACUGGGAGUAUGUAGAUGGCUUUGAAUCUAUGCAAAAUAGCAAUUCGUCGGUGAGGCGUACUGCAUCAUCCUCUGAGCAACCGAAUUGAACAACGAUGAUGCCCAUGUUGGACCAGUUUCAGCCAUUUAUGCACGACUUCAUUGAUAAGAUUGUUGAUGUCAAAGCUGAUGGUAACUGUGGAUAUCGGCCGAUUGCUGGUUUAUUAGGUAUGGGUGAAGACUCUUGGUCGGUGGUCCGCAACAAUCUGCUUAAAGAACUUGCCAAUUUCUCAGAAGACUAUAUCAAGCUCUUUGGUGACACGGAGAGAUUUGAGGAAUUAAGGAUGUCACUACUUGUUGAUGGGUUAACCAAGGUAUGUAAUUUAUGUAUUUGAAAUUAAGUUUGACGUGUAUAUUUGUUUCAUUCAGGUGACAACGGAUAAGUGGAUGGAUAUAACGGACAUGGGACAUGUCAUUGCAUCAAGGUAUAACGUAAUCGGUGUAUCCUUGUCUAAACAACAAAACAUGACAUUCUUUCCUCUUAGAAGUCAACCACUGACAAAUUCUUCAUUGCAUUGUAUAAUUUGUAUCGGUCAUGUGUAUGACAAUCAUUUUGUUGAGGUACAUUGUAGAUAUGAAGUGUUUUUUUUUAUGUUUAUGAAAUGAGUUUUGUAGGAUUGAGUUAACGUUUUUUUCGCAUAUACAACAGGUUUAUUUAAAAGAACGUUGUCCCUUACUGCCUAUAGCAUUGUUAUGGUCUAGCAAUUAUCAUCCGCAGGCGAAGUCGUGGCCAAAUCCAUAUAUUAGCAGAAUGCAGCAUUACAAGAGCUUCGUGAUGUUCAAGAGAGACUAUGUUGACAUAAAUGAUGAUUGAACAUAUAAUUUAUAAAUGGCUGAUCGUUUUGAACAUGUAAUUUAUUUGUUAUGUCCACAACAAAAUUAUUACUUAAUUCUAAAAAAGCAUGUAUGAUAUAUCGUUGUCUGAGUUGACUACACAUUGUGGAAAACCGUGUAUGAUAAAUUAUUGUCUGCAUUAACAUAAAGCGUGUGAAAGAACCCUGCACAGCAUGACUACACAUGCAGAUCUGAUGUAAGCUAAAGCAUGUCACGUCAUUGGUCUAGUUGACAACACAUACAGAAAGCAUGUGCAUGAGUAUUUUUAAUCUUUAAAAAAUGUAGCACUGAUAUUAAAAGUCAUCUAUAUAUAUGGCAUAACCUAACCCUGUAAGAAAGCACAAGUUUCAGUAUCAACCCAAGUCUUACAAAAAACUAUGGCAUUCUUGGGAGAGACAAGCAGUCAGACAGUUGUGAACUCCACAUUAGGUUUUAUUUUCCAAAUGGAUCCAUUGUUCACAACGACAGUGGUGUUUCCUUUCAAGCUUCCACUCCAGUUCCCAUUCGAGUACCUAUCGGAUGUGAUUUUCAAACGUUAAAAACCAAAAUACACAAUACCCUUAAGCUAACCGACAAGCAAUUUUUGGAUGAAAUUUACUACCGGCAGCCUUUCACGUAUGCAGGUAAUCAAUUUCGGUUUCAAUGUAUGCAACUGAAAGAUGAUGCUGAUGUUAACACAAUGUUAAUCUGUAAUCAUGAAUUUUCGUUUGUUGGUCUGAUUGAGUUAUUAUGUAGCAUUGCUAGAACCCCAAAUGGUAUUUUAAACUUACUUGAAGCUACUAUGACCCCUACUCAUGAUGCCCUGCUAUAUUACAAUGGGAGGUGGAACAUGUCAUGCCAAAAUGAGUUUGUUGGUUACUUGUUCACAGGAAAAAAUCCCAGAAACUUUGAUAUUCCCACCGGAUGUACCAUGGAUGAACUGAAGGAUUUGAUCAAGCAAGUUGCGCCUCGUGGGAUUCCCCUUUAUGGUAUUGAUGAAACACAAAUUGUAAGGCGAUUGUUUUUUCGGAAACCAACUCACCAUGAGUAUUCAGAAAAAGUUAUAAAAUUCGAAAUAUUUGAACUGAAAACCAACGAUGACGUGAUGAAGGUGCUCAUUGAGUCUAACUACUGGAAAAAGAUUGGGCCAAUAGAAAUUUUAGCUGUUUUCAGUAAACUGUACCGCAAAUGGAAGAUGAGUUGUCCUUGUCGCAAAAUUAGCAUGAGUUAGUUGUAGUAUUUGAUGCGAAUUUAAUUUUGAUCGACUAUGCUGAAGUUAAUGUACUGUUUGAAUUCAUGUAUUGCAUAAUCGUUUUCAAUUAGAAGAAUCUCAACUAAAAAAAUAGAUUACUAUAUAUAACAAAUUAAUUAAUGUAACAGCGACAUUACCAACGAUAACAAUGAGAAGCACUGGCAGCAAAGAAUAAACAAUUCCAAAUACCUGCCAAUGUUUAUACCUCAACAACUAAAAACUAAGACGAAGAACACAAGUCUGAAGCACAAAAAACAAAAGGGGGAUAAUAGAAAUGAAAAUGGAACUAAAAAGAAGAAAACAAAGUGCAUGCAUUCAUAUUGAUGAGGAAUUUGUUUACUAAUCUCACUGUGUGUGAAGUGUUUUUCAUUUUAUUUUUUUCUUGGAAAAUGUGGAAGACGAAGGGAAUAAAUACAGUUUAGCGAAUGGAAGGGAAGGAAGGAAGGGGUGCAUGGUGGCUUUGGUGUUGAUUCGCCACCGGCCAUAUGCAGUCAACACAAAAUUAAUCAGGUUGUCACACUGUUUCAGGUUCUAGGGACAAAUUCAGAGUCAGUGGAAUUGACUGACACGUGUCCGUUGUCCUUUCCUACUUAGGGUUCUCUUUGUCUUCGGCCUUUCACUUUCAAACUUUGCAGCCAAACCAGCCAAUUAUCCGGUUUGCAUGCUUGCACUAAAAAACAUGAAUUGGUUUUUAGGGUUUAGGGUUUACGGUUUGGUUUUAGGAUUUAGGGCAUAAAGAAGUACGCAUUAGCAUUGGCAUUGGCAUUGAUAUUGUUAUUGGUUUGUGUGUAGAGUCCGAUAGACUAGAAUGACGGCUACUAGCAUUCUCUCUCUUCAUAACACCCCAUUUAUGAUUUUCCCUUCCAUUCAUGCCAAUCGCUUGCACUUUCUAUACUAUACUUUCUCGUGCUCUGUGACUGUCACUCACUCACUCAAAAACCAAACAUGCCCUUAAGUCCACCAAAAUGAUGAAAUACUUCCUCCUUUCCACAUUAUAUAAUUUUAGAGAAAAAAAUAUUGUUCUGGAUGUGUCAUUUUAGAAAAUAUAAAUACGGAUUUUUAUCUGAGGUUACAAAAUUUUAAAAAAACAUUUUUUUAAUUUGAUAGAACAAAAUUGUAAUUUUUUUAAUUUUUUUUUAAUUUGAUAGAACAAAAUUCUUUUGAACUUCUUUAUUUCAAUUAUAUUUAAAGUUAUAUUUAAAAUUACUUUUUAUUAGUUGGUAAACUAAGUUAACUAGACCAUUUAUAAUAAUUUACAUAUACUCUAACUAAGUUAACUAGACCAUUUUAAUAACAUGCAUGCAUAUAGACACAAAUGGAAUUCACAAUCAAUGGAAAUAAAUAAAACUAACAUUACUAAUGAAAAUAAAUAAAACCAACAAUACUAAUGAAAUGGGUUCAUGUACAAUAUCUGUAUAUACAUGAAAUAUCAAUAUAAAAUAUGCAAAUAAACUACGCCUGAUCCGUGCGUCGCCUGCGUCUAGACCUAACAUAUACUAGAUGAUCCUGUAUAUACACACCCCUAGACUCAGAUGGGGCUCCAACCUGUUAAAUACAAAACAAACAGAUUACACAAAUUUAAAAAAGAACUCACAAUGUAUCAAUCAAAUAUUUGGCAAUUUGUAAAAUGAAGCUGUGACUGUUUACGGAUUAGGUGAUCCGUAAGCGUAUUCCGAAUCAAAUUGAUCAGGAAAAAGCUUACGGAUCAGUUGAUCGGUAAACUACGGAGACAUAGUUUACGGAUCAGGUGAUCCGUAAGCGUAUUCUGGAUCAACUUGAUCCGGAAUACACUUACGGAUCACCUGAUCCAUAAACUCCUCCAAGCUUCCCUACUCCGACAUCAAUGGCGGAAACAGUGGACAGUGGCACUUACCUCUACGGUCGACGCUGACGACGUUCCCUCGACGUUGGACGGUGGUUCGUGGCUCCUCUUCAUGAAAAAAGAAGAACAAGAAUCAAACGCAAGCUCCUCUUCACGACAAUGGUUCGUGGCUGAGGAAGAAGAAGAAGAAGAAGGUAGCGCGAGAGAGAUAGGUCCAAGAGGUCACCAACACUAUACGAAAAUGGCUCUGAGGAAGAAGAAGAAUCAAAGGUUGUGUGAGGAAGAAGAAGAAUCAAAGGGGCUGUGUGAGGAGGAAGAAGAAGAAACUGCAACGGAGAGAGAGAGUAGCGGGAGAGAGAGUCACACAUUUGUUUUAAAAAAUUACCCAGGGGUAUUACGACCUUUUCACAUCAAGUGCUGGGUGCACCAGCAAAAAUGCUGGGUGCACCUAGCAGCACUCCCAGCAUUUCUAUCCCUAGUAAUGGGUUAGUUCUACCUUUUGAGUUGAGGUAUCGUGCUAUGCACAUUCGACCAUGAGCCUAGUUGGUAACUGUUGUCCCCAACUUUCCAUGCUCUUUAUGUGAGUAUUCAAGGUCGACCUAAUGGUAAAACUACUAAAGUACAUGUUUUUAGCUCAACAAAAAAAAAAAAUAUUUACUAUUAAUUUUUACAAAGCAAAAAGGCCACAUAUAUUGGGAAAAAGGUUGAACAUAUAAUUCUCUCAUUUAUUUAAAGUAAACAAGUAUCUCUCAAAGUUUGUUUUAGGUCUCAUUCAUUGUUAGGCUUUCUUUAUUAGCAAAUAUAUAUAUAUAUAUAUAUAUAUAUAUAUAUAUAUUGAUUAGGCAAAGGGUAUAAGCCAUACUCAUUACAAAACAUGAUCAAAGUCACCAACUAGUACAUAUGCCCUAUACCAUAAUCUUCUCCUUUGAUGGUUAUUAAUCCACCACGAAGAGAGAUAUAGGCAACCAACCCAAAGAAAUAGUUAUAGCCUCUAACAAGUCCUACCAAUCACAUGAGUUAUAAACAGGAAAUAAAUGCAGGUAAUAAGUGAAAACCACUUCAAUCAAGUAGCCAAUUGGUUGUUGUUCAUAAAUGUUCUCAAUGAAAUGUAAUUACACAUGUUAUUGCGUAAGAUAACUGACUUCAAGCUUGAUUCUCUUUGUGCAUGUCGUCCACGUUCACAGUUAUUGCCUCCCAGUUAGUGUAAUUCAACAUCAAGUAAAGAAAUGUUACUAAUAAGAUUUGAAGACUUUGCAGACAUGUUAAAAGAUUAGAGUGCCACUCAAAGAAAGAGAACUGGAUCUCCGAUAUUUUAGCUUCCAACCACGCCUAGGUCUUGCAUUUUAUAGCUUCCAUGACAGAAUCCAAAUCAAAACUUUGUUGCAAGAAUAUAGCCUUGUUCUUGUGACACCACCACAUCCACACAUUGGCACACUGGACUAAUUUCCACACUUUAUUUUUUGAAGAUCCAAUCCAGCUACAGUGAUGAAGCUAAAAGUCUUUUAUGACUUCCUUGUGUUGUACAUAAACCACACUUAGCGAGGAAUAGCAUUUGUUCUAGACUUUUGUUGAGCAUUUACAAGUAAAAAAAUGUUCCAAUGUCUCACCUAUUGCAAGACAACUCCUCGUGCCAUAAGAUUAUCCAAGGCGGGUAAUCUAUUGGCUGAAAGUCUCCAAAUAAAGAUCACUACACUCUUAGGGAUGAAAAGUUUCCAUAGAUAACUAUGGAAAGGAUCUUCGAAAGGAUAAAGGCUAGAAGAUACAUACUCAUAUGCAAUUUUAACCGUAUACAAGCCUGUUGAAUCAUUUUUUCUAUACUACCCUAUCAACCAUAUUAUGCACCAAAUAAAUACCCUCCAACUCCGUCAAGAAUGACUCCACUAUAGGCAACUCCCAAUUGAACCAUUGCCUUCUCCAUUCAAAUCUCCACCUCCAAACAUCACCCAAUAUAGCAUCCUUUUGACAAGAAUUAAGAAAAGAAACCUCUUAUAUUUAGAUAUAUUACGCCAAAAUCUUAGCUAUCUAUCAUCUCCUAACUUCCAAGUGAUGUUUUCCAAACCAUGAACCCUCUCUCCUUUUCCCACACACCUUCACCAAGUCCCUCCACCAUGUAGAAUCCAAAUUUGAUACUCUCUUGCAUGGUGUAUCAAUCGAGUCUCUAUAUCUAGAAUUAAGGACUAGGCACCAUAAAGAAUCUCUUUUGCUCAUCAUCCUCUACCUUUAGUUCCCUAACACAAAAAUAUUAAAAAGACCAAUGUUUUUUUUAUUCCCAAUCUUCCAUUCUCCCUUGGCUUACAAACAUCUUCCCAAUUUACCCAUACAAUUUUCUUUUUUCCUUCCUCCCCUCCCUACAAAAAGUGCCGUUGAAGUUUAGAAAUUUUAUUAGCCACACCCAUUGGAAUUCUGAAAAAAAAAAGAUAAAAAUAAAAUAGGAAGCAAAGAAAGGAUCGAUUUUACAAAAGUGACCAUCCCUCCCCAAGAAAGUGUUUUUUGUUUCCCUUUACUCAAUCUAUUCCUACAUUUUUCCACCACUGUUUCCUACACACCCUCCCUCUUUGGAUUGGUCCCAAUUGGGAUCCCAAGAUACACAAAAGGAAAAGACAUAAAGGAACAAUUUAGCAAGUAAGCAUACCUAUGGAUCUUAUCCCAAGAAACUCUUGUGAAAGUUGACCUUUAGACCUGACACCAUCUCAAAGUUUCUCAUAAUCGCCUUAAUGCAUAAGACAUUAUGUGUAGAAUCCUCUACAAAGAACAACAUAACUUCCACCUAUUUAUUCCCCACUUUAUAACCUAUGUACCUCCCGCAAAGUAAGGCUUAUCUCAUGAAGCCACUUGUCCCUUUUGCUGCAAUGAGGAAUAAGAAAGGGGCAAUAGGGUCUCCUUGUCUCAAACCCCUCCUAGGUACGAACUCCUUAGUAGGACUUCCAUUUACAAUAAUAGAAAUGGACGUAAUCUCCAAACAAGCUUUAGUGCAUGUAAUCCACUUAUGAAUAGACCCCAUCUUCCCCAUAAUAUAAAACUAGAAAUCCCACAAACAUAAUCGUAUACCUUCUCAAAGUUAACUUUAAGCACAAGGCAUGAUUUCUUCCUUCUCUUAGCAUCAUCAACCACCUCAUUUGCAAUGGCUACACUAUCUAACAUAUUUUGCUCUCCCAUAAAGGCAAUUUGCUUUUCACCAAUAAUUUUAGGGAGAACCACUCUUAGUCUUCUUGCUAAAACCUUAGACAAAAUUUUAUACAAGCACCCGAUUAAGGAUAUAGGCCUAAAGUUAUUAAGGCCUUGUGGAUCAUCCUUUUUUGAGAUGAGAAUGAUAAACGAAGGAUUUUCUCUUCUUGGAAUUGCUCCAUUUUCCCAAAACUCUUGCAACAUAUUUAUAAAAUCCACCUUCAAUGUAGCCCAACAUUUCUUGAUGAAGUUAAAGUUGAUCCUAUCGAGUCCUGGGCUUUUAUAUUCCAACACCAGUUCUUUUUAUUUCCAUCUCACUAAAACACUCAAAAAGCAAUGCAUUAUCCUCCCCCUCCCCUCCCUCGAGUUUGUUAGAAGCCACCCCAUCAAGCUUUGGUCUAUCAAAGGUUUCCUCUUGAAUUCUUUUAUCAAAGAAAUCAAGAAUACCUCUCUUUACAAACAAAGGUUCUUCUACCCAUCCCCUUUCAAGUUGAAGACCUUUAAUGCCAUUUUCUCUCCUCUUCCAAUUAAUAACAUUGUGGAAAAAAAUUUGUUCCCAUCUCCCUCCUUAAACCACUUAAUUCUUGACUUUUGCUACAACAAGGAUUCAUUCUAGUAAACUUCCAAUAUUCCCCUAAGCAAAACCUUCUUGUUUCUAAUUCUUCAUUUGUCAACCCCAACACUUUAUCUCUUUCCUCCAAGAAAUUAACUUUAGCAAUCAACUUCUUGCAUUGUUUUUCUAGAUUCUCAAAGCUCUCCAUAUUCCAUUUCUUUAGAUCUAUUUUUAGAAGCUUCAAUUUCUUUUUGAUCACAUAAGCCACUCUCCCUUGUACAUCAUAUGAUUUCCACAAGCUUUCCACUUUCCCCAUGAACCUUUACUCUAGGAACCAACAAUUGAAAACCUUAAAUGGUUUAGGUCCCCAAUCAAUACAAUUAUUCUUCUAUACAAUAGGGCUAUGAUCCGAGAAGCUUGAGUGCUACCCGACCACCUAUGUAGCCACCCCAUUGACAUACAAAAUCUAUAUCAAGCCUACUCUUGGAAUGAGUACUUGAUCUAUACCAAGUAAGUUUCUUGUCAACCAAAGGUAUAUCUUUGAUUUCCAUGUCAUCAAUAAAUUGAUUGAACUCACCCAUGUCUCUCUCCCAAUGGGUAAGUUAUUAUUAUCUCUCAUUUCCUCCAUAGAUCUCACUGAAUUUAAUUCACUCAUUGAACACCAAUUUUCUUCCCUCACAAGAAUUUUUAAAGCUUUAACCUCAUCCUAUAAUUUCAUCUUUUCCUCCAAAUCACAAUGUGCAUAAAUAUUAAGGAUAAAGCAAGAAACAUUACCUUCUUUCCACACUCCUUGUACCCCUACAUAACCUUUCCCAAUGUAAGUGAUGUUGACCCCUCCCUAUUCCAAGUGCACACUAAGCCCCCAACCAUAUUGAUUGCUGGAGAUUCCCUCCAUUCAAAGUCACCAUCUGACGAUAAAGUUGAAAUACUUUUCCUAAGUAUUGUUUCCAUCUUGGUCUUUUGCAAACAAACAAAUUCCACCUAUUCCUUUAUUAUUCAAGCUCUUAUCACUCUUCACUUGAUCUUCCCACCCAACCCCCUAACAUUGUGGCUCGUGAUCUUUAUAAAAUACUCUUAUCAUGUCCCUCCUCCAUCACUUUGCAACUACUUUUUCCAAUUUGAGAUUUAUCCCUUUUUUUUUCUUUCUAAUUUUGAUACUUUCCAUUCAAUAUCCACUUUCUCCCCAUUACAUACAACCCCAAUAUCUUCAGCUAUAUUCCAAAUGGUCCUUGAUUCAGCCUCAUCCUCCUCAAUUACAUAGUCACCGAAACGUUUAGUCGCACCUUAUACUGAUCCUUUUGUUUUACCAGUACAACCUUUCUUCCUUCCUUCCAUUCGAGCAUUUCAUGUCUUCCUUACUACCACAUGUUGCAUCUCUCAUGGUAAUGCCACAUUUCUUAUUCUUUGUCUCCCCCAUAACGUCUUUAGCAUUCUUCCUCAUCAUAUUAUCAAUAUUGGUCCUUUCAUCCUUGUUUCCAUUGUUAAAAUGUUGAAUUUUCUUAUCAUAUGAGAAGACUGCUGCAUUAGCUAAGCCUUUUCCUUUUUCCACCACUCAUUCUCUUUGGCCUUGGUGGACAACCUAGUUUGUUGAAGCCCAUCUCCACUACCAGUUUUGUCACUCGUUUUUUCCUUAAUAAUUGUAUUUGGGCUUGUUGUUGUGGCCCAAAUUGAACUUACCCUAUUUAAUUAGAAUCGGUUCCUUUAGUUGCUUUCAUUGACCAUUCUUACCUCCAUCCUUCUUUUUUUUUUUCUGUGGCUUUUAUCCUCACAUUUUCUUUCUCUCCCUUGUCGUUUAUGUGGUUAUUUCCUGAGGCAAUGUCAUUGUUGUGUCUUUGCUAAUCUAUAUCCUUUUGGUCAAUGUCCACCUUCACAUAUUUUCCUUUUUUCCAAUCUUCAACCUUUGUCUCAUGAACUCCUUCAUUUCUUUUUUUUUUUUUUUUCCAUUUUGAUGCAACAUUGAACCCUGUUGUUUGUUUGCCCCUACCAAAAUUGUCGCACUACCCCCAUAUACCUCUUUCUCUAUUUGCGUAGGUAGCUGACCUACCACAUCCACAUCAAUAAUUUUGAAAAUGGAACACAUUGUUGUGGAGGACUGACUACUAUCGUCGAUGUUGCAUCACUAUCUCUGAACUCACACCCUUCCUACAGACCUUUGUCGUCUGAACACUCUACUACACUAGGCCCUUCUCCCAUAUGAAGCACCUUAACAGAAGAUUCUAGAUCUGAGUCUUCAUACCUACACCCACCAGCCAUAACUCUUUCGUCUGCAGUGAAAAAAGCUUCCUCCAUAGCUUUAAUUACCAAAGCCCUUCCAUUUUACCCUUUUGACUUCUUGAAUCCACCCCAGUCUAGAGGUUCUAAUGAGCACCCUAGCAUACUCCAGUCUUGAUUAGUCAGUUGUAUCCUCAUCCACCAACACUAAAUCCUUGAUUGUUGCUGUGAUGAGUUCAAAACAUUUUCUUUUCCAUAAGUUCAACGGUAGACCCUCAAUCCUAAUCCAGACCGAUCUAUUAUUGGAGAAAACCUCUAAAGUCUAAUCCACAACAGAUUCGAAUAACUUGUUCAUCCAUUCCUCAACCCCUUUCAGAACCUCAUUUAGAUCCACUCCCUCUAAAGGGGUAAAUAGCAACAAUUUGUUGCCUAUAUACCUCAUUUGAAUCGAUUGCAUCCCUUCCAAAAAAGGAGAGUUCUUUGGCAUUCUGGAUAAGCUUGACAACCAGAACUGUUGCAAUGAGACUUCUUGCUAACUGGUUUGUAUUGUUUUCUUCCAUCCUUAUAUCAUAUCCCCAUCUUACAUCCUCUCUAUCUUCUUUCUUAUUCGUGUUUUUCAACCUCCUACUAUGUUUAGCAACAACAUGUGUUUUGCUAGUAGUUAUGCCUACAUAAGACUUUUCAGGUCUUAGUUCACCUUUUCCUGAGAUCACACUCUUUACAGUUGUAUUCUACUGAUUCGUCUUUGCAUAUGUUCCUAUAACUAUGUUGACCUCCCAUUUCUUUUGUUUUUCAAAAUUUGGAAAAUUCACCAUCAUCCUCAUAUUACCCACAAAGAUAUUGUGCAGUUUUUUCUCUAAUGCUACAAAAUUUUCCACCUCUUUGACACACACAAAUCCAUGCUUAAUACCUAUUUUACCCUUCCUUGGUGAUAUGAAUACUUCAAAAACUUUCCCAAACUGAAUGAAGAUUCUCUAUAGAUAUAACACCUCAAGUGUAUAUGAGAAAUGGGUGAAGAAGUAGCUAGUAAUCCCCCUCGAUAUCCCUAUUGAACCUCUACCUUUGCCUUUGUCCCAUUCUCUCAUUCCCCAAACCCACCCGCACUCCCUUUUUGUCCCUCUCUCUCACUAGACCAUUUCUCACCUGUCUCUCUAGUUGCAUGUGACAUUCACUGUUAGGCUUACUACGAGUAUGUCAAGCUUUUUAUUUAGCUCAAGGUCUUUACUUAUUUGAAGAUGGAUAGACAUCUUUGUUUGUAAAUUGUAGUAUUGCUACAACCAUGCUUAAUUAUUAUUGUUUGAAUUGUAAUACACUAGUUAGUGGGACAUGUGGCAUUUAUUUUCAUUAAGAAGUCAAUCUUUGGACCUUAUGGCAAUUAUGACAACUAUUAUAGUCAACCACCAUUUGAUUUUCUUCUUGCCUUAUAUGAUAUUGUUAAGGAAUAGGAGAGAUGGAAAAUGUUUCUUCGAUGUUUGCCAAAUCUCAAACUCCUAUGAUGACGUGGAGAUAUUGAUCUCCUCUUAAACUACUAGAACAACCUUAAUAGUUUUUGUUGUUGCAUUUUGAGGGUUUUCAACCUAUAUUCUAAAUGAAAAUAUUAAAUACAUGAAAAUUAUAUAUAAUUCAAUUGAUUUAGUGGUUGAUGGAACUUAGAAUAUGAAAAUAUUAAAUACAUGAAUUUUUUUAUGGAGACAUUUUCUGAAUCAGCCUAAUAAUUAAAGCCCAAUUCUUAAUAUGGGUCAAAAGUAUGGUCUAAUCGACAUCAUGUUUGUAUGCUCCAAAAUUUUUUAUUACCUGCCCGCCUUGCUCAAGCAAGCUUUCAAGUUUCAACCAGGCUUUCUUGCAUUCCUUAGGUGAUCAUAUAUAUAUAUAUAUAUGUCCCUUGUUGUUUGGUACUAUUUUAAUUUGUACACUGACUUCCAUCGCGAGUCAGCAAGAUUUGUACAUGGACAUGGACAAGUAACUUGUUAUGUUCUCAACCCAAGUCUCCACAUUUUACCAUUUCAUUUCUCAACUCAAGAAAUGGAGAAGAUCCAAACUUAGUCAGAUUUUAGUAACAAUUUGAUUUUGUAUGUCCUUCAAUUUUUUUGUUGACAAAAUCAGGGGAAGAGAAUGAUACUUUAUUCGACCCUUUUCUUAUGCUUAUUAUCAUGGUAUAUUCGCCUUCUUUAAUACAAAUUACAGACACAACACCUGGGAUGGAUUUUUGUUAUUCCAAAUUCAAACAAAAUAGUUCCCUGUAUAUACAAUAAUUUUCUCAAUAGGAAAAUGAAGCUUGGGCCCAAUUGAAGGAUCAUGUAGGUUUAGGACCUUUAUUUAUCUUUGCCCCCAAUUCUCCAAAUUAAGUUUCUGUCCCAUUUUCAAAUAAAACACAUAAAUACCCCUUUUUUUCUUUCUACAGUGUGAAUUUGGGUCCUUAUCCACUUAGUUCACAACUUAUGUUUGACAAAAUAUUGUAGACUCACCUUAAGAAUUUGAUUUUCCGUAAAAUGAAUUCUUAACAUUUUUUUAUUGAACUUCAUUAAGUUAUUAUGUAUCCUUAAAUCUUCAAAGAUAUAUAAUCAACUUCAAAGCUAAAAUGAAUUUCAUUUUUUUUAAUUAUAAAUCUUGUUCUAGUAGUGCAUUAUUUAAAUUGCAGUAAUUGUUUACGCAAUCAAUUCAUUAGUUCUGCUUUAAGGAUAAUUUUCACUUUGUACAUGUAUGAUACGAUUCAUUUUAUUUUAAUUAAUUUAGAAAUUUUAAAGAUAGAUAUUGUUUGUCUAGAAAGUUGCAAUGGUACUGGCCGACUUACCGUCCUCUAGCAUGUUGUAUUGUGUCUGUGUAAUCCAUUGAAUGUAAAAUUUAGAAAAAAAGUCGGAGGCCCAUACAUAGCCGUUAUGAUGUUCUGUACAAAUAUUGUCAUUAUUCUAUCAUUACUCUAGAUACAUUCAUGCACCACAGAAACAUAUGUAUAGAUAUAGGGUAUGGGGGAUCCAGAGCUCUUUCUUUCUUUGUCUAUAUAGGGUACUAACAUUGUAACCAGUCUCCAAGCGACCUGCGGUCCUUGAGAUUUCUUUUCAACCUUGUAAAUUCCUUUACAAGCAAAGAUCCACAAGGGAUGUACCCUCCCUUGUUCUCUUUGAACAACCUAGUGGAUGUACCCUCCACUAGAAUUGAUCCACAAGAGAUGUACCCUCUCUUGUUUUCAGUCAACAACCCAAGUAGAUGUACCCUCUACUUGUACCACAAAGGAUGUACCCUCCAAUGUGUUAAGACAAAGUUCUGGCGGUUAGUCCUUUGAAACUUUGUGAAGGGGAAGCAAAAGAAUUCUCAAGCGGUUAGUCCUUUGAAAUCUUUUGUUUAUGGGAAAGGGAAGAAUCAAAAGAAUUCUCAGACUGUGUCGUUUUGGAUUCUUUGACAAGGGAGAAGGGAGACACAAAAGAAUUCAGGUGGUUAGUCCUUUAUUCUUUUGGAAAAGGGAGAAGAGAGACACAAAAAGAAUUCAGGCGGUUAGUCCUUGGCGAAUUUUUUUUGGCAAAGGGAGAAGAGAAUGAAAAAGAUGAAUAGCACAAGUUUUUGAGCAAAGAACUUUUCUUGGAAGAAAAAGUUUUGAACAAAAAUUUUUAGAAAGAUGAAGAGAAGAUAAAAUAAGAAAGUUCUGAAAGAAAUGAAAGAAGAUGUUGAAAGAUAGAUUGAAAGAUAGAAUGAU